CACCUCUCCAGGAUACAUUAACGAGCUCCUGUACUUGCCAGGGAAAUUGCCCAUGGAGCCAAGUUUAUGUAAAUAGUUAUAUCUUUUUAUGUUGCCAAAGGCUGGGGGGAAAAGCAACCCGGUUUAAGGAGUGCAAUUGAAGAGGAACUGCUGGAAUUACCAUCACUGAACUUGCUGAGUUUCGGACAAUGUUCUGAGGGCCGCAGGUGAUGCUUGGGGUGUCCUGUGCAGGGGCGGGAGGUGGACUUGGUGAUAUGUCUCCCAACCCAGGAUAUUCUGUAAUUCUGAUCCUGACUGAGUAAAAUACUCCGAGCAGAGUCCCUGCAGGAUAGAAAGGAACCAGGAGAGGUGGGCAUGCAGCACCUGUGGAGCAGCACAGAUCUUUGGAGUGUCUGAACCCAGCACUGCUGGCUCAGAAGUGGUGACAAGGACCCCAAAAGGCAGAGAACAACACGUCCAGAUGGAUGGCUGGGUGAAUCUGGUCCUCUUGGCCACAGGAGGAAACCCUUCCUCCCCACAAAUGAGGAUUAUAGGAUGGUUUGAGUUGGAAGGGAGCUCAGAAAUCAAACCACUACUGAAUACCCACAGUCAUGUGUGAAAUUUACUUGUGUUUUCUUGUAUAUGGAGGACAUCACCAACAACAAAAAGGGCAGCUUCUUGAGGAGUCAAAACCAUCAGUGGACAACGUUUGACAGCCUCCCUGCCCAAGCUGAGUCCUUGGAGUAGCUGUUCAUGGGAGGGCAAUCAAGUCAGCAGAGUCAAGUGUGAGGUCCAUGGAAUGAUGCUCCAAGUGGGAAUUUUCAAGAGCAGCUGGGAUAUCAUUGAGCAGCUGCUGUUUCACUUCUUGGAGGGCACCACAGGACAGGAUGCCACAGCUACUCACAUCUCUGGCUACAAUAUUUUACCAAUGGUAACUACAGAGCAGGGCCUGCUUGUGGUGGCUGAAGCCAAAGGAGUUUGGACUGACAAAGCUCAUCAAACCCAGGAACAUUUGGGAAAUAUUUACUCUUGAGAAGUUUCACAUGAUCAUCACUUGCUGAUUUAGAGACUUUUCUCCCCUCGUGUUUUUAUUUGAAGGUCAUCAGUGGGAAUCCUAUUUAGCUUACGAUUACAAAAGCCCAUACGAAGCAUGGAAUAUUUCCAGAAAUAAAGUCACAAUUCCUGGUGAGGCUGGAUGAGGUGCAGAGCUGGAGACAGGAACCAGGAACCAUGCAGGAGUUUCUGGUGGCACACCCAUCCCUCUCACAUCAGUGGUGUUUCUUCAAGAAACUAAUGUCCAAAACAAGAGAAGAAAUUUCAUAUGAAUAUCCUUGAAAGGCUGAAACCUGGAAAUAUGGAUCUCCAGCCACAUCUCUGGUCUUAUCAUCUCCCUUUAGGUGUUUUUACCUGUGCUGAGACAGCUUUUUGCCACAAUGGAAGCUUUGUGCUGGCACUCAACAGCCCACUUGGUGCAGUUGACUUGCUAAUGGUGAAUUUUUUUCAUGAGUGAGAAGAAGUCAGGAGAAAAUGACAAGGAUUCCUAGUGAAAUGAAAGCUGAGUCUUUGCUUUUCAAUCAACCAUUUAAUAUUUAUUCAGAGGAAACUUCACAUUUAAAAUAAAAGCUCCUGUUGUUUGAGCAGGAUAUAUAAAGAUACCUUUGUUACCCUUUCUGGAAAAGGAACAGCUUCUUCAGUCUUACAGUUCUUUGAGAAUUUCUCCGCUUUGAGUUUUUAUUUGGCCCUUGCAAAGGAGGCCACGGCCUUGGCAGCAGAACUGGAGAACAUUUAAAGGCCAGGUGGCUGCUAAAUCAAUCAAACCACAAGGCUGGGAGGGAGAAGCUACAAUGGAAGGAUCUGCCCACCUCACCACAGCUCACAGACAUCAUGAGCUUUCUUUCUGAAGACACAGCAAGAGAAGAGAAGAGAGAAGCAACUAAAAAUCACAAUUCACCAGUCCAAGAUAAAAUUCAGCAACAGCCCAAGAGGCACCAGUGUCUGAGCAGGCUCCUUGCUCCUGCAGAGGACAGUCUGUCACGAGAGAGAUUGUUUCACCACUCACUGAAAUUUAACCUGUGUGAAUAAUGGACUCCCAGGAGAAACCAUGAAAAUCAGUCUCCUCCACGUCACUGGGGAAUUUCCACCAGGAUGCUUUCUGGACACUCCAGGGACCAGUUUGGCUGGAAUUUCUGUUGUAUUUUGCACAGCACAUGGUAAUUCUGCUCUGCCAAGGAUGAACUUUUGGUCCUACUGAGCCCGUGUCGGUUAUUAUGGAAAAGGCUCCUUUUGUCUGUGUGGAGUCCAAACCCAGAGGAGCUGCCAAAAACUCACAGAAGUACAAAACAAGAGAGAGGCGGGGAUGGAUCCACAUGCUGGACGAGGGAAAGUUGAAACUGUAUGUUCUGGAUUUUCUCCUGUGAGCAGAUUUGUGCAUGAAAUCUUGUGAUUAAAGGCCAAAUGGAGAAUUUGGGUAAAAACUGGGGUGAUGUGGCUGCACCACAAGCAGGUGGCUGUUUCCUGAAGAGCAGUGUGUUCCCAAGGAUGGCAGCUUAUCUCCAGUGGACUGGUACAGAGUAGUUCUUUACAGCCUGAAGUUGAAAAACUGGUCCUUAUCUGCUAAGCUGUAUCAGGAGUGGCAUCAGUGUCUGUUUAAUCAGGAGCAGCCAUCUGGAAUGGGAGUGCUGCCCUUCAGGUGCCAAAACACAGAAAACACAGAUGUCAGGAGCGCCUUGAACUGUCGGGAUAUUUGUGAUGUUCAUCUGGAAAGGGCUGGAUUCCAGCACUCUCCCAGCACCUCAAGCAGUGCCGUGGCUGUGCAGUCAAAAGAAGUAGCAACACAUGUGCUGGCUCCAACAUUUCCAUUUCAAUCCAGCUGAGCUUCUGAGGGUGUUGAGAGCGUGGCCUCUUUUGGACCUUGGAAUUAAAAAGAGUAUCCGAAUAAAGCUUCCUUUUAUUAGAGAAGAGAAGCAUUCUUUUGAAAGGGUCUCAAAUAUCAUCCUUGGCUGCCAGCACAUUUUGGGAAAGACAGCUCCUGUAGGCGCUGGAAGGCCACAGUUAAGUCACUGCAAAGCUUCUCUUCUCCAGGCUGACCAGUCCCAAAGUGAAGCACACAGCCAGUCCUCUACAGAGACAUGGAACAGAUGAGGACUUCACAUCUCUCCAAGGCUCUGUUUUAUGCAUCUAAAUUAAACUGAAGUUGGAACCUGUCAGGACAAGGAACAAGACAACCAGGACAGGAGCAAUGAAGCAGAGCUGAGGGCUGAGAUACUCAUGAAUAAAUGAAGUACACAGGAUGCACUAUGAGUUUGCUUGGCAGCUGUUCCACAAAAUCCACUCAAAAUCCAGGCUUCCCACUGGAGUGAGCAGAGCUUAUGGAUGCACUUGAGUGCUUUGCUGAAGCAGGGCCAGCCUGGGUGAAAACAUCUCACCCAGGAGCCAGUCUCACGUUCUCUGGAGAUAUUUUCAAGACACAGAAGAGGAAUUUGAUCCAAAUCCCUCCUGCACAUUCCACCACACACCUUGGGUCUGAGCUCCAAACCACUGAGGGCAGCUGGAUGACUCCACUGCAGUUCAGUAUCAACAUGAUGAGAAAGACACGGUCAACCGUGGGCCUUAUUUUUCAGAGCAAAAAAAACAAGCAGAGAGGUUGUCCUGCACAGGGCUUUAAAUCCGACAUUUUCAUAACUAUUCAGCAAACCUCCCAUGGAAAGACUUCCCACCACCACCUUCCUCCUACUCCCAUCAAAGUGUUGUGAAAAAAGCUGGAACAAAACCUUGGAUCACCUGAGGACUGAGCUUUACCUACCAGGCAUCAUCUCAAGGCAGAUGAUUGCAAGAGCUUUGAUACUUCAGCUGAAGCACAGAACUGAGCUAACAUGUCUGCAGGACUUCUAAAUUAGAGCUGGCUGGUGUCCAGGCACUUGCAAGCAGGAGCAGAGGAGCCUCAGGUCUGUCUGA